CAGAGCCCGUUCAUGGGUGAUGGCGUGCCUUUUGUAGAAUGAACCGGCGAGUUACGAUGACGAGCGAGGUUAAGUCGAAGAGACGGAGCCGCAGCGAAAGCGAGUCUGAAUAGGGCGUUAAGUACGUUGUCGUAGACCCGAUAACCGAGAAGAAAAGCGGAGGCGCCGCGAUUAGCCCCGAUAGGCGCUGGAGGGCCUGCGAGGAGGCUAUUGCCGCCACGGCAGGACCGAAGCGACCGUGAGGGGCUAGGCGCCGAAGCUAGACAUAGGAAGAAGCCGAGAAGCGAAGGCGGCAAGCAUGAAGCUGUUUUCGCAUGGUUAAGUUAGAAAGGGCGCACGGUGGAUGCCUUGGCACUCAUCGCGUCAAGCGAGUAAGAUCCCUCGAAGAUGACGAGGUCGAUAGGUCCGAGGUGGAAGCGUGGCGACACGUGGAGCUGACGGAUACUAAUCGAUCGAGGACUUAACCAAG
rnacentral:rRNA from 1 species